AGACCCGAAACCCGGUGAUCUAGCCAUGGGCAGGUUGAAGGUUGGGUAACACUAACUGGAGGACCGAACCGACUAAUGUUGAAAAAUUAGCGGAUGACCUGUGGCUGGGGGUGAAAGGCCAAUCAAACCGGGAGAUAGCUGGUUCUCCCCGAAAGCUAUUUAGGUAGCGCCUCGUGAAUUCAUCUCCGGGGGUAGAGCACUGUUUCGGCUAGGGGGCCAUCCCGGCUUACCAACCCGAUGCAAACUGCGAAUACCGGAGAAUGUUAUCACGGGAGACACACGGCGGGUGCUAACGUCCGUCGUGAAGAGGGAAACAACCCAGACCGCCAGCUAAGGUCCCAAAGUCAUGGUUAAGUGGGAAACGAUGUGGGAAGGCCCAGACAGCCAGGAUGUUGGCUUAGAAGCAGCCAUCAUUUAAAGAAAGCGUAAUAGCUCACUGGUCGAGUCGGCCUGCGCGGAAGAUGUAACGGGGCUAAACCAUGCACCGAAGCUGCGGCAGCGAACGUAUCACCCAAGACAACUUUACGGAGUUGACGAUUGACGGAGCGAAGCGACGUCAAAGCGUUCAUUAAAGUCGAGUUGGCUUAGGGAUACGUUCGUUGGGUAGGGGAGCGUUCUGUAAGCCUGUGAAGGUGUGUCGUGAGGCAUGCUGGAGGUAUCAGAAGUGCGAAUGCUGACAUAAGUAACGAUAAAGCGGGUGAAAAGCCCGCUCGCCGGAAGACCAAGGGUUCCUGUCCAACGUUAAUCGGGGCAGGGUGAGUCGACCCCUAAGGCGAGGCCGA
rnacentral:rRNA from 3 species